rnacentral:pre_miRNA from 1 species
GCACCAACAUUGAGACCGUCGGUCUACCGAGCAAUAUCACCCGCUCGGUGGAAGAUCUUCUCUUUGUCAUGUACC